AGCGAACGCUGGCGGCAGGCUUAACACAUGCAAGUCGAGCGGGCGUAGCAAUACGUCAGCGGCAGACGGGUGAGUAACGCGUGGGAACAUACCUUUUGGUUCGGAACAACACAGGGAAACUUGUGCUAAUACCGGAUAAGCCCUUACGGGGAAAGAUUUAUCGCCGAAAGAUUGGCCCGCGUCUGAUUAGCUAGUUGGUGAGGUAAUGGCUCACCAAGGCGACGAUCAGUAGCUGGUCUGAGAGGAUGAUCAGCCACAUUGGGACUGAGACACGGCCCAAACUCCUACGGGAGGCAGCAGUGGGGAAUAUUGGACAAUGGGCGCAAGCCUGAUCCAGCCAUGCCGCGUGAGUGAUGAAGGCCC
rnacentral:rRNA from 1 species